AAAGAAAGUAAGCAAGGGCGCAUGGCGGAUGCCUUGGCUCUCGGAGGCGAUGAAGGACGUGAUAAGCUGCGAUAAGCUUCGGGUAGGUGCAAAUAACCUUUGAUCCGAAGAUUUCCGAAUGGGACAACCCGUCAUUCUGAAGGAAUGACAUCUUGCAUAGCAAGAGGCUAACGCAGGGAACUGAAACAUCUUAGUACCUGCAGGAAAAGAAAAUAAUAAUGAUUCCCCUAGUAGUGGCGAGCGAACGGGGAUUAGCCCAAACCAAUGUUGUUACGGCAAUAUUGGGGUUGUAGGACCACGAUGUCGCAAGAAAUUUAGUGAGAAGAAUUCUUUGGAAAAUGAAACCAUAGACGGUGAUAGUCCGGUAUUCGAAGCUAAACGAAGCGUAGUGGUAUCCUGAGUAGCGCGGGACACGAGGAAUCUUGCGUGAAUCUGCCGGGACCAUCCGGUAAGGCUAAAUACUCCCGAGAGACCGAUAGCGAACCAGUACUGUGAAGGAAAGGUGAAAAGCACUUCGAAUAGAAGAGUGAAAUAGUCCCUGAAACCGUGCGCCUACAAGCGGUCGGAGCAGCGUAAGUUGUGACGGCGUGCCUUUUGCAUAAUGAACCUACGAGUUACUUUUUCCGGCAAGGUUAAGCAUUUCAAAAUGUGUAGCCGAAGCGAAAGCGAGUCUGAACAGGGCGAUUAGUCGGAAGGAGUAGACGCGAAACCAAGUGAUCUACCCUUGGUCAGGUUGAAGGUUAGGUAACACUAACUGGAGGACCGAACCGAUAAGCGUUGAAAAGCUUCCGGAUGAACUGAGGGUGGGGGUGAAAGGCUAAUCAAACUUGGAGAUAGCUCGUACUCCCCGAAAUGCAUUUAGGUGCAGCCUUGGGAAUUACUACUGUGAGGUAGAGCGACUGAUAAGAUGCGAGGGCUUCACCGCCUAUCAAGUCUUGAUAAACUCCGAAUGCGCAGUAGUUCGAUCCCAGGAGUGAGGGCAUGGGUGCUAAGGUCCAUGUCCUAAAGGAGAAGAAUCCGGACCAUCAGCUAAGGUCCCGAAAUAAUUGCUAAGUUGAACUAACGAAGUCAGAUUGCUAAGACAGCUAGGAUGUUGGCUUGGAAGCAGCCAUUCAUUUAAAGAGUGCGUAACAGCUCACUAGUCGAGGAGUUUGGCGUGGAUAAUAAUCGGGCAUCAAGCAAUUUACCGAAGCUAUGGGAUGUUAACUAAACACUAACAUCGGUAGGGGAGCAUUCCACUCUGCGUCGAAGGUGAAGCGUGAGCUUUGCUGGAGCGUGUGGAAAAGCAAAUGUAGGUAUAAGUAACGAUAAAGGGGGUGAGAAACCCCCUCGCCGAAAGACUAAGGUUUCCUGAUCAACGCUAAUCGGAUCAGGGUUAGUCGGGUCCUAAGGCUCAGCCGAACGGUGAGGCCGAUGGCAGAACAGGUUAAUAUUCCUGUACUACCUUAAGGAGUGACGUGGAGACGGAGCAGUGAUAGCGCCGCGGACUGACGGAAUAGUCCGUUGAAGGGUGUAGAUGUUGAUCUUUGCAGGCAAAUCCACAAAGAGAGUCGAACCUGAUAGUAUGGAACGUUCUUCGGAACAAUCCAAUAGUGCGUGUAAACAUACUCCCAAGAAAAUCCGCUAAACUUAAUCUUUAAGGUACCCGUACCGCAAACGGACACACGUAGUCGGGUUGAAUAUACUAAGGCGCUUGAGUGAUUCACGGUUAAGGAACUAGGCAAAUUGACCCUGUAACUUCGGGAUAAAGGGUCCCAACGAGAGUUGGGCGCAGAGAAUAGGUCCAGGCAACUGUUUAACAAAAACACAGGGCUGUGCCAAAUUGAAAGAUUACGUAUACAGCCUGACACCUGCCCGGUGCUGGAAGGUUAAGAGGAGAUGUCAUCGCAAGAGAAGCAUUGAAUUGAAGCCCCAGUAAACGGCGGCCGUAACUAUAACGGUCCUAAGGUAGCGAAAUUCCUUGUCGGGUAAGUUC
rnacentral:rRNA from 1 species